rnacentral:rRNA from 1 species
GGUGUACCAGUUGUCGUGCCAACGGCAUAGCUGGGUAGCUAUGUGUGGACGGGAUAAGUGCUGAAAGCAUCUAAGCAUGAAGCCCCCCUCAAGAUGAGAUUUCCCAACUUCGGUUAUAAGAUCCCUCAAAGAUGAUGAGGUUAAUAGGUUCGAGGUGGAAGCAUGGUGACAUGUGGAGCUGACGAAUACUAAUCGAUCGAAGACUUAAUCAAAA